ACAUACGACCAUAGGGUGUGGAAAAUAGGGCUUCCCGUCCGCUCAGCCGUACUCAAGCCACACGCCGGUCCGUUAGUAGUAUGGUGGGUGACCACAUGCGAAUCCUGACUGUUGUAUGUU
rnacentral:rRNA from 1 species